rnacentral:rRNA from 1 species
UGAGGAAUAUUGCGCAAUGGGCGAAAGCCUGACGCAGCGACGCCGCGUGGAGGAUGAAGGUUUUCGGAUUGUAAACUCCUGUUAAGUGGGAAGAAACGACAAAAUAUAAUACAUUUUGUAACUGACGGUACCAUUAAAGAAAGCACCGGCUAACUUCGUGCCAGCAGCCGCGGUAAUACGAGGGGUGCAAGCGUUAUUCGGAAUUAUUGGGCGUAAAGGGUGCGUAGGCGGCGUAUUAAGUCAACUGUUAAAACCUCCAGCCUAACUGGAGAUCAGCAGUAGAUACUGGUAUGCUAGAGGAUGGAAGAGAGAAGUGGAAUUCUUGGAGUAGCGGUGGAAUGCGUAGAUCUCAAGAGGAACACCAAUGGCGAAGGCAGCUUCUUGGUCCAUAUCUGACGCUGAUGCACGAAAGCGUGGGGAGCAAACAGGAUUAGAUACCCUGGUAGUCCACGCCGUAAACGAUGAUCACUAGAUGUUAAUUCUGCUUGCAGAAUUAGUGUCGUAGCUAACGCGAUAAGUGAUCCGCCUGGGGGACUACGGUCGCAAGAUUAAAACUCAAAUGAAUUGACGGGGUCAUAGCUGUUUCCUG